rnacentral:rRNA from 1 species
CCUACGGGAGGCAGCAGUGAGGAAUAUUGGUCAAUGGGCGGGAGCCUGAACCAGCCAAGCCGCGUGAAGGAAGAAGGCGCCAAGCGGCGAAAAGUUCUUUUGUAGGGGAACAAAGGGCGCCACGUGUGGCGUUGUGAGUGUACCCGAAGAAAACGCAUCGGCUAACUCCGUGCAGUCAGCCGCGGUAAUACGGAGGAUGCGACCGUUGUCCGGAUUUAUUGGGUUGAAAGGGUGCGUAGGCGGUCCGGAAAGUCAGCGGUAAAAGCCCGGGGCUCAACCCCGGCGGGCCGUUGAAACUUUCGGACUAGCGACGGCGAGAAGUACGAGGAAUGCGCGGUGUAGCUGUGAAAUGCAUAGCUAUCGCGCAGAACUCCGAUUGCGAAGGCAGCGUACCGGGGCCGGACUGACGCUGAGGCACGAAAGCGUGGGUAUCGAACAGGAUUAGAUACCCUGGUAGUC